GCCCGGAUAGCUCAGUCGGUAGAGCAGGGGAUUGAAAAUCCCCGUGUCCUUGGUUCGAUUCCGAGUCCGGGGG
rnacentral:tRNA from 1 species